rnacentral:rRNA from 1 species
UACGGGGGGGGCAAGCGUUGUUCGGAAUUACUGGGCGUAAAGGCUCGUAGGCGGCCAACUAAGUCGGAUGUGAAAUCCCCAGGCUCAACCUGGGAACUGCAUCCGAUACUGGAUGGCUUGAAUUCGGGAGGGGAUGCAGAAUUCCAGGUGUAGCGGUGAAAUGCGUAGAUAUCUGGAGGAAUACCGGUGGCGAAGGCGGCAUCCUGGACCGACAUUGACGCUGAGGAGCGAAAGCCAGGGGAGCAAACGGG